GGGCGAGUUUGAUCAUGGCUCAGAGCGAACGCUGGCGGCAGGCCUAACACAUGCAAGUCGAGCGGGCACCGCAAGGUGUCAGCGGCAGACGGGAGAGUAACACGUGGGAACGUGCCCUUUGGUUCGGAACAACUCCGGGAAACUGGAGCUAAUACCGGAUAAGCCCUUACGGGGAAAGAUUUAUCGCCAAAGGAGCGGCCCGCGUCCGAUUAGCUAGUUGGUGAGGUAACGGCUCACCAAGGCGACGAUCGGUAGCUGGUCUAAGAGGAUGAUCAGCCUCACUGGGACUGAGACACGGCCCAGACUCCUACGGGAGGCAGCAGUGGGGAAUAUUGGACAAUGGGCGCAAGCCUGAUCCAGCCAUGCCGCGUGGGUGAUGAAGGCCCUAGGGUUGUAAAGCCCUUUCGGCGGGGAAGAUAAUGACGGUACCCGCAGAAGAAGCCCCGGCUAACUUCGUGCCAGCAGCCGCGGUAAUAAG
rnacentral:rRNA from 1 species